GAUGAACGCUGGCGGCGUGCCUAAUACAUGCAAGUCGAACGAAACUUCUUUAUCACCGAGUGCUUGCACUCACCGAUAAAGAGUUGAGUGGCGAACGGGUGAGUAACACGUGGGCAACCUGCCCAAAAGAGGGGGAUAACACUUGGAAACAGGUGCUAAUACCGCAUAACCAUAGUUACCGCAUGGUAACUAUGUAAAAGGUGGCUAUACUACCGCUUUUGGAUGGGCCCGCGGCGCAUUAGCUAGUUGGUAGGGUAAGGCUUACCAAGGCAAUGAUGCGUAGCCGAAUUGAGAGGUUGAUCGGCCACAUUGGGACUGAGACACGGCCCAAACUCCUACGGGAGGCAGCAGUAGGGAAUCUUCCACAAUGGGCGAAAGCCUGAUGGAGCAACGCCGCGUGGGUGAAGAAGGUCUUCGGAUCGUAAAACCCUGUUGUUAGAGAAGAAAGUGCGUGAGAGUAACUGUUCACGUUUCGACGGUAUCUAACCAGAAAGCCACUGCUAACUACGUG
rnacentral:rRNA from 1 species